AAGAGAAAAAGUUAGAUUUUCUGUUCAAGUGAGUUGAAGUCAUAUGGACUAGUGUGUAUCUUUCUUUUCAGAUUUUUGUGGUUUACCUUAGUGGAUGGAUGUUGAUGUCUGUAGUUGAAUGGGAGUAUUUUAUUGUAAUGUCGAUUCUGGCCGAACUGGGUUCCACCAUUAAAGAAAAUCAAGAAUUCCUUUUCAAGCUUCUUUUGACCAACCCCAUGAACAACCACCUGAGGGAGGUCCUGCCAAUUUGCAAAACAGGUGGCCGUUGCCGAGCAAGUUGAUGAAUUUUCUUCAAUCAAAGGUUAGUAUUCCCUAAGAUUGUGCUUGUUUUUAUUCAAUAUAGCUGUCCCCACUGAUAUUAUUGUUGAACAAUUUAGCUGACAACUAUUGUUAGACCAAGAAAUUAAAAAAAAUUGAAAAGAAAAGAAAAGAAACCACAAGAAUCUUCUACAUUAUCAAUUCUUUUAAUCAUAUAAUAAUUUGGCUGUGAAAUCAUCACGAGGGUACCAACUAAAACCGACAGAGUCAUCAGAAAAUAUUAUAUUUCUAUUGUAAAUCCACCCAUAUUUACAUAGUUAUAGUUCCAAUUAGUUUAGAUAAAAGGUUGAGGGAAAACAAAACUGGUUAGUUGGGAUAAUUGGGAUGAGAUGUGCCCGGUAGCCUGUAUCAUCAUUGAGGAAUGCACAAAUGCAAAUCUUGACUACCCUUUAGAAUGUAGAAAACAACAUUGAAAGUGUGGUUUGGAUGUACCUUGAAGGCCACAUGAUGUUGUCCCUCAACCAACAUGUGGAUAUGGCGAAAGACCCAGGAACCACCUCCUAUACUUCACAUGGAAACGGCACGCACACUCCCUAUAGAGAGCUAGUAAUUGACUCUUAUUGUUAGACUUUUUAAUGAGCUUAAAAUCAGCAUAAUUUCAAAUAAUGACUUUAAUCCGAGGAUAUAUGGGGAAGACCCUGUAAAAAGAUGUUUAGGAUUUAGGAGACGAGAUUUCAAAUGAAAAAAAAAAGCGAAUAUAAGAAACAGUGAAGAUGUUCCUCUUUCCUAACUGAGUUUGUGAAUUGUGGUGGUCCCAUGUGAAUUUUAGUUCAGAUUCUUUAAAAUGCCUUGCAAUUAAGUGGUAUCAGAUUGACAUAAUUGAAUUAGUGUCAAUUUGUAUUGAAUAAGUCCUUUUUAAGAGGGGUGUGCUUCAUCUGAUCUGCUUCAAAGGGGACCUGUUUUACCUUCAGACUGACUAAGGACUGACAAUAUCCUCUUAACUUUUCUCAAAGAUCAAUCAGAUCAGAACCCAAAUUCCUCUUUUAACAAAUUCACCAGCUUUUCUAUCGUGGUUUUGGUACAAGUUUCCUUUUGUCUGCACGUUAUGAAUUCUGCAAAUUUCCAAAUAAAACAUGAAAGAAGUUCACUUCAAUUGCAAGAACCAUGAUCAAUCCUGCAAACAGUGCUGAGGAAAGAGUGCAAUUUAUAAUAAUAAGUAGAAAAUAUGGAGAGAGAGAGAGAGAGAGGAUAGUUAAGUGAAUGAGGUGGUGCUUAGUUCAGCCAUGAAUGUGCUUAACAGAAAAAACCCAUUAAUUAUCUCUCCUUUGUUUGGCCUAACUUCACCCACUGCCACUGAAAUCAACUGGAACAGUUAAAUCUGCCAUUGCGAAUGUACCCCCACACUCUGUUUAGUCUUUUCUUGUACAUUUACUUGGCUUUAUUCGCCAUUUCUUUCUUUCUUUAACAACAACUAUGUUAUAAUUAAAUUCAUGAUUAUAAUAAGAGAAAAAUGAUAAUCAAAACCACCUCCCAUACCGUACACAUGGCCCACAUAUUCAUUCAUCUCUUCUGUGGUGGGACCUCACCUCACCCCUAAACUUUGAAUGGAGACAUUUUUUUAGUUUUAUUUUAUUUUUCUACUAAGUGUUGAGGAACAGUAUUAUACUGAUGCAUGUGAUGUGAUAACUAUACUCAAUCAAUCAGGACCGUCCAAUUAAAUGAAAGUAUAUCAAGUGAUGGUUCGACAUGAUAUGUGCUGUAACUAAACCACCCCAGUGGGUAGGAUAGCUCCAUCAAAAGGCCCAAUUUCAUCUAUUUAAGGGCUAAGACUUCUCACUCUUGGUUCUUCGCAAACGUCAUUAUCAACUUGUUUCUUUCUUUCACUUUUUUUGUUUAUUUGGGACAAGGAUGGAUGGAUGCUAGCUCAAAAAGGGGGGAAAAAAUGGCAGAGGCAAAGGUGAGAUGGUCAGUCAGCUGCAACAGUAAUUUACUAGUUACAGCGUAAGUAAAAUGGAUAAGUUUAUGAUCCUAGUACUGAAAACUUGAUAGUAGUUAUAAAUGUAAUGUUGUUGCCAAGAUUUGCCACCCAGAUGAAACUAACACAGUGACAGACAGAGAGAAGAGGGCGGUGGGCAUCUGCCUGCUUGUUAAGUUGAGUGGGUAGAAAAACACAAACACAUGAAUAAACAAUUGGGUCUGGGCCAUCUGGUGGGCACGGAAUGAAUAGACAAGAAAGAAAAUCCAAGCUUUGCUUCCCAUCACUUAAUCAAUUGCACAGUCAGAUGGCACUUUGAUGUAAGUUUGCUUUUACCAUCCUAUUACUGCCACAAAGAAUACCAACAAACAAGGCGGAUAGAUUUCACUUCCAUCCAAAUUAUAAGAGAGAGAAAUUGGUGGACUUGGCCACUCUAUAACGCAAACAAAGGGGGUGUGACAAAUCAGCAAGUCACUGGACCCACCUCAUCUACAGAAAUAUCCAUGAUAUAAGGUUGCUAUUAGUUUAAAGAAGGCAACUUCAACUAAAAUCCUAGGUAAGCCCUUCGCUUCCAUGAACUUCAAUGACCUAGCUCAAUUUUAUUAGAUGAUCAACACCAUCCAUCCCUUGAGAACUGGGAUUCUCUUCUCAUGGAAAGAACCCACACAGAAAGAUAAUUAAUGAGCCUCACUGUCAAUUUAUCAAUCCAUAGAGAGAAAGAGAAGCCGAAGACACAGCUCUAGUACACAAUAUGGUCCUUGAAUAUGCAUAUUUCACAUUUCCUUAUUUCCCAUUUCACAAAGCUAACAACAACAAUAAUAAAAUCAGAAGUCAGGUGCUACAACACAUCUAA